rnacentral:lncRNA from 1 species
ACUUCUUUCAUCAUUUCCCCCAGGAAACCAGGCCAACCAGAGUCCUGGCAAAGCUUUAUCCUAAUCGGGAGAGCUUAGCUAAAUUGUUGAGACCUCUCAAAGCAGAGAUGUAGCAGAUACUGCAGCUCCACCCAGAUCUCGAAGGGCUGGCUGCUCCACUCACCCUAGAGUCUCCAUCCCCACAGGCAGUUGUCCUCAGGGCACAGCAGUACAUGAGGAAGCCCAGGCCAGUGACCUGCUCAAGUGUAUUUAAAAGCCCAGCCCCCUUGUUUCAAUAGGAAGAAUUCAGUGCUCCCCACAGGAUCAUCUGGGGCCUCAGGAGGUUCAACACAGUAGGUCACUUUCUCCAUCUGCUUAAUCCUGCAUUUCUCACACCCUUACCAGUGCAUUUCCUGAGAGAAUGUCCUCAAACCCCUUUCAUCCAGAAUUAUCCGGUCACAGAAUCGGCUUCCAGAGACCCAAUGUGAGACCUGGGGUCAGAAGGCAGGCUGCUGUAGGAGGAGCAGCAGGAGGGGAAGAAGCACAGAUCACAGACCCAUAUGCAGUAGCUUUCAAUCAAGAGGAAAGGAAAACGUUGGAAGCUCCAAGAAUCACUUGGGGUUGAGGGUUUUUCUUUUGAUGUUACUAGCUCUUUGUUUAAGAUGGGAAAGACUUAGUAUGCUUCACUGUUGAUGGAACAGAGAAGGAGAGGAGGAACAUACAAUAAAAGAUGAGGUAAAUGAACAGGAUGAAUUUACGGAGGUGAAAAGCUUAAGUGGUAAAUUAAGAGUUAAUCAUAGUUUAGUGUAUGGUAUGAAUAAAAAUCUGACAUUAUGUUGCAAAUGAUUAGCCACUUAUUCCAACAUGAUUCUAGACUAGUUCAUACUUUACUCACAUAUGUGCUAUUUUUAUCACAAAAUUAAUCCUCAUGUAUUCAUGAGCCUAUUUUUAGACCUUUCUAUUUCAUACCUAUUUUUCAUCAGAUGUUAAAUUGACAAAAUUACUAUAGUUUUAUAUGACAUUUUGAUAAAUAGGACAAAACCUUCCUCCUCAUUGCAGUCUUUUUAAAAUUUCAAAAUUUAUUUCAUAUAUAUCCUGUGUUUUACUAUGCAUUUUAGGUUUAUUUUCAGGAUGUUUUAUCUUUUUGUUGUUAUUCAGAAUUUUCCAUUUCUUUUCAAUUUUUUGUUUGCUGACAUGGGAAGGGCUUAUAUUUUUAUUGUAUUGCUCUUUUGGAUUUUAAUAUAUUUUUGCAUAUUGCUAUUUUAUAGAUUCUCUUACGGAAUUUUUAUGAAUUUUUGCAUUUAUUCAUUUGCUUUUAGGUUUUCUCCCAGAUAGCCAUUUUUUUCUUUUAAUAAUUUAUAUCUAAUUUUUCUUUUGUUUUUCUUAUUAGCUAGAAUCUGCUGUAUGAUCCUCUGAGAUGGAGAUUUGAGUAUAAGAAGAUUUGGGGGUUGUGCUCUUGAAGGGCAAGGGAAGAGCAAGAAACAAGAAACAAGAUUGGGCAGAUAGAGAAGGUGGGUUGUUAUGCAAACACAGUAAGGUCCUUAGCAACGCAUAUGGAACUCAAAAGCUUACAAGGCCCUUCAGAGUUUUGGCAGGAGACCCCAGCUAUCCAGUCACUGGAUGCUGGGUAUUCCUGAAAGGGGCAGGACUUUAGGUCAGGUGACCCACAUCAAGUGAUGUAGUUCCUGAAGAGAGCCGAGGGCUAGGGCUGUUGGCCAGGCAUCGCUUCCAGCAACCCCACCAGCAGUGAGGAGGUACGUGUCCCUGUUCUGAAUGGGCAUCUGGGUCUGGGUAGCAUGUUGCAGCAUUCACUGCACUCCUUCUAUGAAAGAUGAGGACAUUUUUGUGUUAUGUUCUGAAUUAACUGACAUCCACAGUUUGGAAGAAACCACUACUACAACUUACCUGCACAUUGGUGCUACUUUUCAUGUUGAAGUUAGCACGAUUUCCCCUCUUCUCCUCCCCACCCCCAGUACCCCCUCCCCUUCCAUGCCCCCCAUGCUGCACCCACCCUGUGUAAAGCUAGAGGCCUGGGAACUAGGUAGGCCAGAAUCUCUACUGGGAGGUUCCAGUUUAGAUUCCACUAAUCAGAAGCAUCUGCUUGAGGCUUGAAAAAGCAGCAGAAGUUUCAUUGUUCUUCUGGCAGCAGUAGGUAGAUGUAUGGGUUUCAGCAGAUUAGCUGGAGCAGCCUCUGGGCAUUUUUCUGUAAAUCAUCUGCCUUAGUUUGCAUAGCAUCAUAUACCCAGAGGUUUGCAACACAUCAGCAAUGUAGCCUGAGAACUUGAAACAGUGCAAAUUCUUGGACCUACUGCAGACCUAUGAAUUCAGAAACACAGUAAGUACUGAGUCCCCUGGUUGAUUCUAUAAAUCAGAGUUUAGAAUUGCUGAUGCCUGUUUUAACAUAACAGUUCGUGGUAUAGUUUUCAAACUGGGUUGGUUUUCAGAAUCACCAAGUGUGAGUCUACAAACUACAGAUUCCGUGGCCCCAUAAAUAAGACUCUCCAGGAAAAGCCCCCAUGAAUCUGUAGUCUUACAAGUAUCCCAGGUAAUUCUGAUUGUUUGUCAGGUGUAGGAAGUUGAUCAAGUAUUGCUCUUUGGUAUCCCUAGUUUCUUGUUGAAACAGCAUUCCCUUUUCCUUACAGUUGCAAAGGAAAGGGAAAGCAAUUACAUUGUAAUGAAAAGACUGUGAUUUAUUUGGAAAAGUGUGUUCACUCAGCAUAGCAUCCCUUUUAUAGAUCGUUUGCACUCUGCAAUUUAUUUAGUGUUUCUCAGCACUAACCAGGGGUGACCUCAUCACAAUUACAGUAAUCUCAUCACAAUCAUUCUAAAAGUGCAGAUACCUGGCUCCAUUGAGAUGUUUUGAACUUCAUCAUAGGGCAUAGGGCAUGUUUAGCAUGCCAGCACAUGAAAAUUUGAGAGCUGCCUAGCAAGUUUUCCCUAGUUUACACUAGACCACACAAAAGCGUAUCACCAGAUGUGUGAUCUAUACUACAAACAAAUAUAAUAGAGGGAUACCUACAAAGAGUCCUGGUAUUAACUCCAGGCUUCAGUUUCAUCAUGGGUAGGUGAGGCUGUGGAAAUAGAUUAUUUUUAAUUCCUCUUCCUGUUCUAAAAUGCUUUGAUUAAAUUGUAUAUUUAUCAACCUAUACACAUAGCCACUUCGAGAAUCAUGGAUAAUGUUAUAUGGUUUUCCUUGGGCCUCCUGAUAGGCUUCUUUAUUUAUUGCAUCGGAUAGAAGCAAAUAUUUCAACUUUAUCACUGUUGUUGGUGGAAAACAAAGGGGGAAAGAGACAAAUGCUGUAAAUAUGUGGACACUUUGAUCUGUUUCUUAGAAAAGAUUUUUACUCAGAAUAUUCAAAAUGAUCAUAUUCUUGGACAGUCUUACAAGACAGUGGAAUUAGAUUUUACUUCCAAAUGAAAAUAUUAAAUACUUAAACUUCAAAAAUUUUAAAAUAUCCAUAAUGUUCUAUUUUAUCUCAAUUGUUAAUUUUAGUGAAAUAUUUUUAUGUAAAAAUAUAAUCAAUAUUAAUAUUCUAUUAAUGGCUAAUGUGACUACAUGUUUUACCAUUUAGGACUUUUAUUAUUGUUUUUAGCUAAAUGUGUCUUCUUAACCUAUGAAUAAGUGAUGAAAACAAUCUAUACACUUAAAGAGAAACUAAGUUUGUGUUGAGAAGUAUUAGCACCAUGUUUUACACAGGUAGUUAAUAUUUGUUGAUUGGUGAUUAGUUACUCCAAAAAUUAUUUCUGACACAAAUGAUGAUGUUUAAGAGGAUCUUUGCAUGAUUUGAAUAAUAAAAAAAAUCAUCAUAACAAAUCCUUUUAUGGGCUUGCAGAUGUUUAAGGUCUUUUGCCAACAAUUUUAAUAUAUCUUAAAAUAAUUUCCGAUUGCCUCGAAAUGCUAAAAUUGAUCUGGAUAAAUUAAGAGUUCUUAAGGGCGUGGAAGUGACAACUGUGAGAUUCUGGCAAAAAUCACAUUAUUUCUUGUGUAGCAUGCAAUGACCAUCUUACUGAAAAAGGGUGUAUCAAGAAGUAUUUAGGUAAGGGUAAAAUCCAGCAGCUAUCAAAAUUGAUGGAAAGUUCUCAUGGUAUUUGGCAACUUAAUCUGGAAUGAUAAGUAAAUUAAAAGUGUUUGUUGACUUUUCCUAUCAGUUUUAAAGAUGUUCCCCUAAGCUACUUUAAGAGUCCCCAAAGUUACUUUAUUUCUGGAAUAUUCCACGAUAGAAAAGUGUUCUGAGUUAAUUACAAGGAAAGGGCAGAGGCAUGGCUAGUGGUCAUGGUCCAGUAAAGCCAAGUAUAUUAUCCUUGGCUCAGUUCAGGAUCCACCUGUUUAGCCAGAGUUAUUUUUUCCUUUUCUGGAAAGAAUUCAGCCAAUUCCUUAAUUUCGCAAUUGUAUCAUUUCAUUUUAUUCUGCUGGUUUUAUUUUUAUAUUUAUAGUUUUGGUGAUGUUUGCUACUGGUACAUUUUUAGUAGUAAAAAUCUGUGGUGAUUGGUAUGUUUUUGACCUUUGAGGAGAUUUCAUUUUGUUAUUGUUAAAAAUAAUACUGGUGUAUGGUUUGUACAAAACAUGCCAAGCACUUUGAAACAUGUAAUUUUGGUAAAUUAUUCAAUAUAAGCAUUCCUUGCUAUCCAUAAGAUUUUAUUUACCAAUUGGCGUAAAAAAUGUGCUAGGCAGAAAGAGUAUCAUAAAAAAUUUUGACAUUGUGGAAGUCUUUUUUUAAUAAUGAAAAGUUAUUUUAUAUAAAAUUAUUUAAAUUCCUGACCUGAAUUAUAUUUGACAUGAUUAAAGCAUGCAAUGAAAGUAAAAGUAUAUUUAACUUUUAACAAGAACUUUGGAAUGACGUGUAUAUAUUUGAGAAAUUUAUCAGGCUUGACUAUAAAUCAAAUUUUCCUUUGUAAUAUUUGCUGGAAGAAAAAUGCUCUUUUGUAAACUAAGCAAGUUUUCUAGAGAACUGAAAGAACAAUAAUGCCACAUAGUGAAUAAUGAAUUAGCAUGAUCAGAGUGAGAUGUUGUCGAUUCUGUCUCUGAGUUAGUAGAGAGCCAACCAGUCCCAGGAACAAAUUUUAUCAUAAGUUGCAGACUCAUUUCAGACAAAAUCAUAGAUCAGUCAUGGUUAUGGUGGGCAAAGUUCUCUAAAUCAUGAACAAUAGUGAACCAUCAAAUUAUUAUAUAUUCUUUCAUUGUAUAUGCCUCAUUCUAAAAACACGGGUUUCCUCCCUUUGUUGAAUCAGAAUAACACUUUAAAAAUAUGAAUCAGCACAAAAAGUACUUUAAGAAAACUUUUUAAGCCUUCUAUAAUAAAAUAGAAGCCUACCAUAUUUUCUUAAUCUUUGUUUUUAUUUUCAUGUUUUUGCAGUACACAAGGUGUGAAACUGAAAAGAGUCCACAUAUCUAAAAUAUUAUGGGAAUAAGAAAAGCUAAUUCCU